rnacentral:rRNA from 1 species
GUAGGUGGCAAGCGUUGUCCGGAAUUAUUGGGCGUAAAGCGCGCGCAGGCGGUUCUUUAAGUCUGAUGUGAAAGCCCACGGCUCAACCGUGGAGGGUCAUUGGAAACUGGAGAACUUGAGUACAGAAGAGGAAAGCGGAAUUCCACGUGUAGCGGUGAAAUGCGUAGAGAUGUGGAGGAACACCAGUGGCGAAGGCGGCUUUCUGGUCUGUAACUGACGCUGAGGCGCGAAAGCGUGGGGAGCCAACAGGGAUUAGAUACCCUGGUAGUCCACGCCGUAAACGAUGAGUGCUAAGUGUUAGGGGGGUUUCCGCCCCCUUAGUGCUGCAGCUAACGCAUUAAGCACUCCGCCUGGGGAGUACGGCCGCAAGGCUG